rnacentral:rRNA from 1 species
GACGAACGCUGGCGGCGUGCCUAAUACAUGCAAGUUGAGCGAUGAAGAUUGGUGCUUGCACCAAUUUGAAGAGCAGCGAACGGGUGAGUAACGCGUGGGGAAUCUGCCUUUGAGCGGGGGACAACAUUUGGAAACGAAUGCUAAUACCGCAUAACAACUUUAAACAUAAGUUUUAAGUUUGAAAGAUGCAAUUGCAUCACUCAAAGAUGAUCCCGCGUUGUAUUAGCUAGUUGGUGAGGUAAAGGCUCACCAAGGCGAUGAUACAUAGCCGACCUGAGAGGGUGAUCGGCCACAUUGGGACUGAGACACGCCCCAAACUCCUACGGGAGGCAGCAGUAGGGAAUCUUCGGCAAUGGACGAAAGUCUGACCGAGCAACGCCGCGUGAGUGAAGAAGGUUUUCGGAUCGUAAAACUCUGUUGGUAGAGAAGAACGUUGGUGAGAGUGGAAAGCUCAUCAAGUGACGGUAACUACCCAGAAAGGGACGGCUAACUACGUG